rnacentral:rRNA from 1 species
UGGGGAAUUUUGGACAAUGGGCGAAAGCCUGAUCCAGCAAUGCCGCGUGUGUGAAGAAGGCCUUCGGGUUGUAAAGCACUUUUGUCCGGAAAGAAAUCCUUGGCUCUAAUACAGUCGGGGGGAUGACGGUACCGGAAGAAUAAGCACCGGCUAACUACGUGCCAGCAGCCGCGGUAAUACGUAGGGUGCAAGCGUUAAUCGGAAUUACUGGGCGUAAAGCGUGCGCAGGCGGUUUGCUAAGACCGAUGUGAAAUCCCCGGGCUCAACCUGGGAACUGCAUUGGUGACUGGCAGGCUAGAGUAUGGCAGAGGGGGGUAGAAUUCCACGUGUAGCAGUGAAAUGCGUAGAGAUGUGGAGGAAUACCGAUGGCGAAGGCAGCCCCCUGGGCCAAUACUGACGCUCAUGCACGAAAGCGUGGGGAGCAAAACAGGAUUAGAUACCCUGGUAGUCCACGCCCUAAACGAUGUCAACUAGUUGUUGGGGAUUCAUUUCCUUAGUAACGUAGCUAACGCGUGAAGUUGACCGCCUGGGGAGUACGGUCGCAAGAUUAAAACUUAAAUGAAUUGACGGGGUCAUAGCUGUUUCCU